rnacentral:pre_miRNA from 1 species
GGGAUCGGCAGGGGACAAAAAUGGCAUAAGAGAGGUACAGUGGGAGGCAGGAGAAAGACCAAUAUCUGCCACCCUUCUUUCUCUCUUAUGCGUUUUUGUCUCUCGCCGGUCAC